rnacentral:rRNA from 1 species
AGCGAACGCUGGCGGCAGGCCUAACACAUGCAAGUCGAACGAAGUCUUCGGACUUAGUGGCGGACGGGUGAGUAACACGUGGGAACGUGCCUUUAGGUUCGGAAUAACUCAGGGAAACUUGUGCUAAUACCGAAUGUGCCCUUCGGGGGAAAGAUUUAUCGCCUUUAGAGCGGCCCGCGUCUGAUUAGCUCGUUGGUGAGGUAAAGGCUCACCAAGGGUACGAUCAGUAGCUGGUCUGAGAGGAUGACCAGCCACAUUGGGACUGAGACACGGCCCAAACUCCUACGGGAGGCAGCAAUGGGGAAUCUUGCGCAAUGGGCGAAAGCCUGACGCAGCCAUGCCGCGUGGAUGAUGAAGGUCUUAGGAUUGUAAAAUCCUUUCACCGGUGAAGAUAAUGACUGUAGCCGGAGAAGAAGCCCCGGCUAACUUCGUGCCAGCCGCCGCCGUAACAC